AAUUUAUAUUACCCUUAAUUUUAUAAGCUGCCGUUUUGUUUGAAUAAGGGUAUAUAGGGUAUUACAUAUUUGAAUAACCACCGAUAGAGAUUAAAGAUUUGACCAAAUCCCUUAUUUAUUGGGUUGACAAAUUGGAAAGAAGUAAAUGAGGGUUGAAGGAAAGAAGUAAAUGAGGGUUGAAUAGUGUCUUUUCACUGCCAUUUUACACCUUUCACCUUCCACCUUCCAACUUUUCAUCCACCAUUAUCGAGGAAGCAAAAAUCCUUCGGCCGAAUAAACAAGCAUCCGGCCGCGGAGGAAGCAAGAAUCCGUCCGCCGUCACAUACAUUCAUCUAGGCAAUACCGGCCAUCGAACAAGAUGAGAAUUGUGUCGGGAUUCGCCGGGAAGAGAGCGUCAGCCCAUUAUCAGAGGUGGCAUUGUUCAUGUUUCUGCUGUCAAAAUAUCUUUUGGACCAUCAAGAAUUUGCAAAGGCAAACACAGUAUCAAGAGCCCAAGUGCAGCAUGUAAAUAUGAAAUGGGCAGACAACAAAAACACAAUAGACACGGGUUUAUACCUCAUGCGCCAUUUGGAGACUUUUAUGGGCGAUGGAUCAACAAGUUGGAAGUGUGGAAUGUCGUCGUCGUCUCCACGUCACAUGAGUCAUAUGUGAGUUAGAUAUUGUGACAUAAUUUUAAGUUGCGAGUACAAUGAUAUAAGAUGAGGGCUGCUGAAAUGUGCAUCUACAUAUUAUCACGAGUUGUGCAAGAAUAACAACUUCAAUGCUAACUAUGUCUUCCUUGGAUGAGACAAUUCAUAAAUAUGAACAAGUUAUAGACUUUCAACAAAUAUUAUGUUUUAUGUCAUAUUUCAAUAGAGCACAGACUCAUGAUUA